rnacentral:tRNA from 1 species
UUCCUGGUGGCCUAGUGGUCAGGCUUUAGCGCUUUCACCGCCAGGGCCCCUGGUUCAAUCCCUGGUCAGGGAU